GAUCAGCAGUAAGAACUAAAGGUGCUGACUCUCCAAGAAGACGGAUCGUUCUGCAUCAGACUGUGAAUCUGCAUCGUCUCCAUCAUGAAGUUGUUGGCUGUGUUCCUCCUGGUCUUUUCCAUGAUGGCUCUGACCUGUGGUGACCCUGUCUUCAUCAAUGGCGCUCCUGGUGACGGUCAGUGGGAGUUUAUGUUAUU